rnacentral:lncRNA from 1 species
AAUCGAAAUGUCAAUCAAUCUCCUGGAAAUUUAGAGAUUCAUCCACAAUGCCUGGAGGUGAUCCCGCCUCGAUUAAAGCACUGAAUGGCUAUGCUUUCUUUCUCUAGAUUGCAAAGUGUUUUCUUAUAUCCUCUUCCAGGGGUUCCUUGUUGCUCGCUCCAUCCUCUGGUGUUCAAGGAUCCUGCUUAAAAUUCAUGGUUGAGGCGCAUAAAAGACGCUGGAAUGAAUCGAUAAGUAAGGCGGCGAAGCAUAGCUCUGCUGCUCUAGAAUCCAUGAUCAAGAAGAUCCUCGGAGCAUGAAACCUGUCUUCUUUCGUAGCAGCACGGUCAUGUGGAACUCGACAUCGUGACGCAAACAUUGUUCUUGUGGACCAGGGAAUGUCGUCACUUCUUUGUUUGAUAAUUCAAACAAUACACUGGAGCCAUGUUUGAAGCAAAUUCAUCUCCAAAAACUCCAUCUUUUCUGCGUAUGCCCACAAUGGGCAUCUGGACUAGACUAUGGUUUUUCUUGACGACAGCGGGAUCAAGUGUCCUAAAAGGAAUAACGCGUAAGAAAGGUUUGCAGAUGAAGAAAAUCAUUUUGAUUUACAACAUGACAUAGCAGGCAGCCUGCUAGAACGUAAUUUUUACAGUGUAUGCCCAAUAAAGGCAUUUUGAAAAUGUGGAUGCCAGAUAAGAAAUUCGUGUCUUGAGAGAUGGUAUACUUGUAGCCCGAUAAAGUGUUCUGUUCCAUGACUGCGGAAGCCAUGAAAUUUCUGAAAAUAUUUCCAAUCCUAGCCAUUGUAGCAAACUCAAUCGCUAGAAAUAUGGGACUGCCUUGUGUACUUGACCUGUGGGAGCAUGGUGGACGCUUGCAGGAGAUUCAAAAGCCCAGAUAUGAUGCUCUAAGACAC